GACAAACGCUGGCGGCGUGCUUAACACAUGCAAGUCGAACGGAAAGGCCCUGCUUUUGUGGGGUGCUCGAGUGGCGAACGGGUGAGUAACACGUGAGUAACCUGCCCUUGACUUUGGGAUAACUUCAGGAAACUGGGGCUAAUACCGGAUAGGAGCUCCUGCUGCAUGGUGGGGGUUGGAAAGUUUCGGCGGUUGGGGAUGGACUCGCGGCUUAUCAGCUUGUUGGUGGGGUAGUGGCUUACCAAGGCUUUGACGGGUAGCCGGCCUGAGAGGGUGACCGGCCACAUUGGGACUGAGAUACGGCCCAGACUCCUACGGGGGGCAGCAGUGGGGAAUAUUGCACAAUGGGCGGAAGCCUGAUGCAGCAACGCCGCGUGCGGGAUGACGGCCUUCGGGUUGUAAACCGCUUUCGCCUGUGACGAAGCGUGAGUGACGGUAAUGGGUAAAGAAGCACCGGCUAACUACGUG
rnacentral:rRNA from 1 species